AUACGGAGGGUCCAAGCGUUAUCCGGAAUCAUUGGGUUUAAAGGGUCCGCAGGCGGUCAAUUAAGUCAGAGGUGAAAUCCCACAGCUCAACUGUGGAACUGCCUUUGAUACUGGUUGUCUUGAAUUAUAGUGAAGUAGAUAGAAUAUGUAGUGUAGCGGUGAAAUGCUUAGAUAUUACAUAGAAUACCGAUUGCGAAGGCAGUCUACUAACUGUAUAUUGACGCUGAUGGACGAAAGCGUGGGGAGCGAACAGGAUUAGAUACCCUUGUAGUCC
rnacentral:rRNA from 1 species